UACGGGGGGGGCAAGCGUUGUUCGGAAUUACUGGGCGUAAAGGGCGCGUAGGCGGCCACCGCAAGUCGACUGUGAAAUCUCCGGGCUUAACCCGGAAAGGUCAGCCGAUACUGCGGGGCUAGAGUGCAGAAGGGGCAACUGGAAUUCUCGGUGUAGCGGUGAAAUGCGUAGAUAUCGAGAGGAACACCUGCGGCGAAGGCGGGUUGCUGGGCUGACACUGACGCUGAGUGCGACGAAGCUAGGGGAGCGAACGGGGAUUAGAACUACCCGUGUCAGUCCA
rnacentral:rRNA from 1 species